rnacentral:rRNA from 1 species
UACGGGGGGAGCAAGCGUUGUUCGGAUUUACUGGGCGUAAAGGGCGCGUAGGCGGCGUAACAAGUCACUUGUGAAAUCUCCGGGCUUAACCCGGAGCGGCCAAGUGAUACUGUUGUGCUAGAGUGCGGAAGGGGCUACUGGAAUUCUCGGUGUAGCGGUGAAAUGCGUAGAUAUCGAGAGGGACACCUGCGGCGAAGGCGGGUAGCUGGGCCGACACUGACGCUGAGGCGCGAAAGCCAGGGGAGCGAACGGG